ensembl:lncRNA
GAAAAAAACACUGAGGCAGCAGACAGCCCAAUGCUUUUCUAUGUAGAGAAAACACUGAGGCAGCAGACAGCCCAAUGCUUUUCUAUGUAGAGAAAACACUGAGGCAGCAGACAGCCCAAUGCUUUUCUACAUAGAGAGAACACUGAGGCAGCAGACAGACAGCCCAAUGCUUUUCUACGUAGAGAAAACACUGAGGCAGCAGACAGCCCAAUGCUUUUCUACGUAGAGAAAACACUGAGGCAGCAGACAGCCCAAUGCUUUUCUACGUAGAGAAAACACUGAGGCAGCAGACAGCCCAAUGCUUUUCUACGUAGAGAAAACACUGAGGCAGCAGAUAGCCCAAUGCUUUUCUAUGUAGAGAAAACACUGAGGCAGCAGACAGCCCAAUGCUUUUCUAUGUAGAGAAAACACUGAGGCAGCAGACAGCCCAAUGCUUUUCUACGUAGAGAAAACACUGAGGCAGCAGACAGCCCAAUGCUUUUCUACAUAGAGAGAACACUGAGGCAGCAGACAGACAGCCCAAUGCUUUUCUACGUAGAGAAAACACUGAGGCAGCAGACAGACAGCCCAAUGCUUUUCUACGUAGAGAAAACACUGAGGCGGUUUAGGAGGUGAGCCACUCAGACGUGAGACUACAGAAGCAGAAGGUCGUUAAAGCUUCUGUUUUUGAUCGACGACGAGGCAAACCUCGGUUGGUUGUAAGUGUUGAUUUUAACGAGGGCUAUCCUCAUCGCGAUUUGGUUUGGUAGGUGUCGUAGUCCAGCGAGUGGGUGGAUAUGCUUAUUAUCUUAAUUAUUGAUGAAUUAUCUUAAUCGUGACUUAAGACAGAGCGGGACGAUCAAAAUACCCUCUCCUGUAAACUUGUUAUUCCCUACUGCUGCUUGUACCUACACGGGGAGGUAUCUUAACCUUGUAGAUCACACUAUGUCCACUAAACCUGUUUUAAACAACGUGACUGAUUAUUAAGAUGGAGUCCCAUAAAGGGACAGUGAUUUGUUCAGAGGGGGGAGUCUCUACCGUAAAGCAAUGCUGUUUAGUGGCUUUAAACCGUUACAAUGCUGCCUUCUGCUAUAACACUUGAGCUCCUCAUAGUGUGUGUGUCCCAAAUGUCUUCAUACUUACUAAUAUAUAGUGCACUACUUUUGAACAGAGCCCCUAUGCGUAGUGUGCUAUAUAGGGGAAUAGUGUUCCAUUUGGGAAGUCCCAUCUCUAGCAGGAACAUGUUCACACACACAGACUCCUAGCAGACCAGACAACCGGACUUGUGCCUUUUUUUUUUUUGAUUGUCUCUCUCUGAUACAUUAUUUAAAAAUGUUUUAAAUAACUUCUAUAAAGGUUUAUGUCAUAUAAAUAUAUUCUCAUAUUUAGUUUUUAAGAUGCUUGUUUGUUGCAAAUAUUAUAGAAAGAUUAUCAAGGACCACGCGAUGCUUUUGGACUUGUGUUUUGUUGGAGUUGAGAGAAGUGCCCAGCCGAUGGGGAGCAGAGUCCGUCUGGACUGCUUGGAGUGCUGACCUCGAUGAUUCUCCCUUCAGAGACUGAAGUCUGAUUCAGGGACGUCAAUGUAGAGCACGUGACUGGAUCAUUCUGACUGGGACAAGGCUGAUUUACACAGAGAGGAAGAAAGCGACACUGCGCUCGGUGGGAUAACCUGUUCUGUUCUUACUGCAGGCUUGGAUUCCAUUCAGUGGAUAUCAUGGGACCAUGAACUCUGCCUGCUUAAAGGUUCAGAGCCUUGGAACGCAAAGGAACAUGUCUCAGACUGAAAUGGAUUGGACUGUCGUCUCAGACUGAAAUGGACUGGACUGUCGGCUUAGACUGAAAUGGACUGGACAGCUGGCUCGGACUGAAAUGGAUUAACACAGACUGAAAUGGACUGGACUAUCGGCUUAGACUGAAAUGGACUGGACAGCUGGCUCGGACUGAAAUGGAUUAACACAGACUGAAAUGGACUAUCGGCUCAGACUGAAAUGGACUAGACUAUCGGCUCAGACUGAAAUGGACUGGACUGUCGGCUCAGACUGAAAUGGACUGGACUGUCGGCUCAGACUGAAAUGGACUGGACUAUCGGCUCGGACUGAAAUGGACUGGACUGUCGGCUCGGACUGAAAUGGAUUAACACAGACUGAAAUGGACUGGACUGUCGGCUCAGACUGAAAUGGAUUAACAGACUGAAAUGGACUGGACAGUCGGCUCAGACUGAAAUGGAUUAACACAGACUGAAAUGGACUGGACAGUCGGCUCAGACUGAAAUGGACUGGACUGUCGGCUCAGACUGAAAUGGACUGGACUGUCGGCUCAGACUGAAAUGGACUGGACUGUCGGCUCAGACUGAAAUGGACUGGACUGUCGGCUCAGACUGAAACUAAACUGGACAUUUUAGCCCUCCCUGAAAUCAGUUAUUUGGAAAAAAAUGACUCUCUCAAUAUUAUUCUUGCACAAUGUUAAUUUUUUUAACUUUUAAUUUUUUUUUAAGGUUGAUGGAUGUUAGUCUGUCAGUCAGACUGGUUGAUGGGUAGACAUCCUUCCUUUCCUGUUAUUAAUUGUCUACUGAUCCUAGUACAGAUCUGGACACCUCAGCCAGCCUGACUCUCCUGUUAUUUCUACUUAUGUGCCAGUUUUCGUGUCGAGUCAGAGACUAAAUAAACUACAUAAACUCCUC